GUGCUCACUUCAGCAGUACAUAUUACUUAAAUUGAAAUGAUGCAGAGAAGAUUAGAAUGACCCCUGUACAAGGAUGUCAUGCAAAUUCAUGAAGUGCUCCAUAGUUUU
ensembl:snRNA U6 U6 spliceosomal RNA